AACCAGAGUCUGGACUUACUUGUUCUGGUAAUUAAACUUUGGGAUGGUAACACAUGGGCUGGAGGAGAUGAUCAGGUAGAAGGUAUUUCUCUAUUCACUUACCUCCAGGCCUACAAAA
rnacentral:snoRNA from 1 species